rnacentral:rRNA from 1 species
GCAUAUCAAUAAGCGGAGGAAAAGAAACCAACAGGGAUUGCUCUAGUAACGGCGAGUGAAGCAGCAAUAGCUCAAAUUUGAAAUCUGGCGUCUUCGACGUCCGAGUUGUAAUUUGUAGAGGAUGCUUCUGAGUGGCCACCGACCUAAGUUCCUUGGAACAGGACGUCAUAGAGGGUGAGAAUCCCGUAUGCGGUCGGAAAGGCGCUCUAUACGUAGCUCCUUCGACGAGUCGAGUUGUUUGGGAAUGCAGCUCUAAAUGGGAGGUAAAUUUCUUCUAAAGCUAAAUAUUGGCCAGAGACCGAUAGCGCACAAGUAGAGUGAUCGAAAGAUGAAAAGCACUUUGGAAAGAGAGUUAAAAAGCACGUGAAAUUGUUAAAAGGGAAGGGAUUGCAACCAGACUUGCUCGCGGUGUUCCGCCGGUCUUCUGACCGGUCUACUCGCCGCGUUGCAGGCCAGCAUCGUCUGGUGCCGCUGGAUAAGACUUGAGGAAUGUAGCUCCCUCGGGAGUGUUAUAGCCUCUUGUGAUGCAGCGAGCGCCGGGCGAGGUCCGCGCUUCGGCUAGGAUGCUGGCGUAAUGGUCGUAAUCCGCCCGUCUUGAAACACGGACCAAGGAGUCUAACAUCUAUGCGAGUGUUCGGGUGUCAAACCCCUACGCGUAAUGAAAGUGAACGGAGGUGAGAACCGCAAGGUGCAUCAUCGACCGAUCCUGAUGUCUUCGGAUGGAUUUGAGUAAGAGCAUAGCUGUUGGGACCCGAAAGAUGGUGAACUAUGCCUGAAUAGGGUGAAGCCAGAGGAAACUCUGGUGGAGGCUCGCAGCGGUUCUGACGUGCAAAUCGAUCGUCAAAUUUGGGUAUAGGGGGCGAAAGACUAAUCGAACCAUCUAGUAGCUGGUUCCUGCCGAG